rnacentral:rRNA from 1 species
CCUACGGGGGGCAGCAGUGGGGAAUAUUGCGCAAUGGGGGCAACCCUGACGCAGCAACGCCGCGUGAUUGAAGAAGGCCUUCGGGUUGUAAAGAUCUUUAAUCGGGGACGAAUUUUGACGGUACCCGAAGAAUAAGCUCCGGCUAACUACGUGCCAGCAGCCGCGGUAAUACGUAGGGAGCAAGCGUUAUCCGGAUUUACUGGGUGUAAAGGGCGUGUAGGCGGGCAUGCAAGCCAGAAGUGAAAUCUGGGGGCUUAACCCCCAAACUGCUUUUGGAACUGCGUGUCUUGAGUGAUGGAGAGGCA